AAAUGAAAAAGGCAAACCAAACGAAAGUUCGGGGCGCAAAACUACAGGGGCUAAAGCGUAAAGUGCUAUGCCAGCCAGUUGCCAAA
rnacentral:ncRNA from 1 species